rnacentral:rRNA from 1 species
UACGUAGGGUGCAAGCGUUAAUCGGAAUUACUGGGCGUAAAGCGUGCGCAGGCGGUUUUUUAAGUCAGAUGUGAAAUCCCCGGGCUUAACCUGGGAACUGCGUUUGAAACUGCAAGGCUAGAGUGUGGCAGAGGGGGGUGGAAUUCCACGUGUAGCAGUGAAAUGCGUAGAGAUGUGGAGGAACACCGAUGGCGAAGGCAGCCCCCUGGGUUAACACUGACGCUCAGGCACGAAAGCGUGGGGAGCAAACAGG